rnacentral:rRNA from 1 species
AAGCUCUAGUUGAAUUUCGGGGUUCUACCGUUGGUCGGGCUAACCAGUCUGUACUAGCGUGUAGAAUUCCUACCUUCUGGGGAACCAUUAUGUUAUUAAUUUAGCGUGGUGGGAAACCAGGACUUUUACCUUGAAAAAAUUAGAGUGUUCAAAGCAGGCUUACGUCUGAAUACAUUAGCAUGGAAUAAUAAAAUAGGACGGUGGUCCUGUUUUGUUGGUUUCUGAAUCACCGUAAUGAUUAAUAGGGAUAGUUGGG